rnacentral:rRNA from 1 species
CUACGGAGGGGGCUAGCGUUGUUCGGAGUUACUGGGCGUAAAGCGUACGUAGGCGGACUGAUCAGUUGGGGGUGAAAUCCCAGGGCUUAACCCUGGAACUGCCUUCAAUACUGUCAGUCUUGAGUUUGGGAGAGGUGAGUGGAAUUCCUAGUGUAGAGGUGAAAUUCAUAGAUAUUAGGAGGAACACCAGUGGCGAAGGCGGCUCACUGGCCCAUUACUGACGCUGAGGUACGAAAGCGUGGGGAGCAAACAGGAUUAGAAACCCCAGUAGUCC